UUUUUUUUUUUUUUUGCUUUUUUUUCUUUACCUACUUUGUUUGCUGUUGUUGAAACAUUUUAACAAAUUAAUUAGAUGCUAAUUCUUAGCAAUAAAUGAAACCCUUAAGGUGCUCAAAUUGUAAACCCCACAAUAAAACCUGUUUAUUCUCAAAGAUGUGCCUCAGAUUCUGAAUGAACACAGAUCUCUUCCAGGGGUUGCAUUCAAGGGAUGGGUCCAAGGUUCUCAUUGCCAUCAGCCAGGAGAGAUAUCCCCAAGGACAUACUACAGGUCUAUCUGUUUUAUUCCAAUUUUAAUCAAAUACUUAAAUAAACACACUGAAACCAGGCUUUCUGAGUUUUCAGCUGGCUCCAAGAUAGAAAGGAUGGGUAGCAUAUUAGACACAGACUUAAACUUCUGAACAGGCAGAAUGAUACACAGACGCUUACAAGAUAAAACUCAAUAGGGAGAAAAGUAAUGCCAUGUUUUCAGUAGUGUUGCAAAGUCAAAGCCUCCAAACAGGAUGGAGGAGAUAAAAAGAGAGCCACUCACAUUAAAAAAAAAAAUCUAGCUGUUUCAGUUAACAUCAAAUAAUAGAAAUCAGCAGGGAAAUGUAACUUCAAAAGCACUGUUGAAUACGUGGGCUAAAUGCAUAUCAAUAGCGCCCAAAAUAAAAAAUGUAAUAGUCUCAUUGUCUUCUGACCUGGUCAGACUCCAGGGAGAGUAUCAGAUUUAGUUACCAGUGUUAUUGUUUACAAAGGAAAUGAAAAUAUAGAACUGGAUAUACAGGGGGCUGAGAUUAGGGUAGAGAAGAGUUUCAACACCAGAUUAUAUGAAGAAUGAUGGGAGAAAAAGAAGACACAUUGCAUGAGCAAGGGAGAAGUCAGGAGAGACACGAGAGGUGUCUAAAUAGUUAUAGCAUUGGUCUGACGGAGAGGGAUGAAAUUAGAUUCUGAGCGGCAAUCUCGAAAAUCUGAGAAAGUCUUCAUUGACAAAACCUUCAGGAAGGCAGCUUUCAGCUCAAUAUGAAUCUUAGACGUCUCCUACCAAUCUCUUUGUCUCAUGGAAGUGGCCUUCUUUUAUAAGCACCCUGUGACCUAAGGCCCAUGUCAGCCCCACAAGUCUCAAGAUUCUGUACAGGAAGAAC
rnacentral:lncRNA from 1 species